GGGGAGGCAGACGGCACUCUGAUUGGCCGGGCCCGCGCCCGGGGAGCCCCGCAUUCUACAGUGUCCGAAAGAUUCGAAACUCCAAAAGCUCCACUGUGUGCUCCGGGAGGGGAGGGGGCGCGCCAGGAAAGGAGUGGAAAAAAGUGGAUUCUCUUAGACUCAGGACGCGCAUCGGUCUGUCCGACCUUCCCCGCAAGAGACAAAGUGACUGCUGGGAGGCCCCCGCGGACAGUUUUCCGUUUUAACUUUCGCCUUAUUCUCAUCCUGUCCUGAUGUCACGGCCCUGAGGAACAGUUCGUUCUGCGGAAGAGGUAACAGGUUUCAGAUUUUGUUUCCUUUUUGAAAGGCAACAUCUGGAAUUAAUGCCGCGGCCCUCGGGCGGGUCGCCCUCGGUUCCUGUAGCUCUAUCUCUGUCUUUUCAUUCUGUUUUUCCCUCUAAUAUCUAAUGUUCUAUCACUCUCGUUUUUGUUCUCUACUUUUCUCUCUCUCCUUCAGAGUAAAGAAAAUUCGUUUAAAUAAUGAGGAAAAUGAGCGUUCCUGUCGUUCUCUGUCCACGCUUGACUGUGCGUCUCCGUGCUGCUCUUUCGAACCUCCAGGCCGGCGGGAAUCUGGGCGCGUAGAUUCGGCCGGGGCCGUCGCGGCCUCAGGACGCAGCCCUCCCGCCUGGCACGACUACUGGGCCGCGCCCUGUCACUCUAUCCGCUUCUGAGCCCAGGGGUGGGGGUGGGAGAAAGAAGAUGCGACCAACGGGCCCCCACCCGAAGACCGCAGAACCCGGCGCCCCGGGAGAGCCUUGGAAGAAGCCCACCCGGAGGCUGAGGCUGGAGGGAGAAGGGGGUGGGGGUGAUGCGCUGGAGGACCGGGCGGAGAGCUUCCAGAAAGUUCACCAGGCCCCGGCACGAGGGCGCUCCGACACGAACAAGGAGCGCAGGACCCAGACCCCACCUUCCAACACCUGGAGGUUCCGAGGCCAAGUACGUCUAGUAGCCCCGGCUGCACCUGGGGAGGACAGCCAUGCGGUUGCGGGAAGAGCGCCGACCACCACCGGAUUCCGCGCAGGGGCGGUCAGGUGCCUCCCAGAGCUCCUUUGGACAAAGUUUUCGGGAAAUUAUAUUAAACCGAAAACGAAAUAAACGAUAUAAAUCUGCCUA
rnacentral:lncRNA from 1 species